rnacentral:rRNA from 1 species
CCUACGGGAGGCAGCAGUGAGGAAUAUUGGUCAAUGGGCGCGAUCCUGAACCAGCCAAGUCGCGUGAGGGAAGACGGUCCUAUGGGUUGUAAACCUCUUUUGUCGGGGAACAAAAGCCGCCACGCGUGGCGUUCCGAGAGUACCCGAAGAAAAAGCAUCGGCUAACUCCGUGCCAGCAGCCGCGGUAAUACGGAGGAUGCGAGCGUUAUCCGGAUUUAUUGGGUUUAAAGGGUGCGCAGGCGGAAGAUCAAGUCAGCGGUAAAAUUGAGAGGCUCAACCUCGUCGAGCCGUUGAAACUGGUUGUCUUGAGUGAGUGAGAAGUAUGCGGAAUGCGCGGUGUAGCGGUGAAAUGCAUAGAUAUCACGCAGAACUCCGAUUGCGAAGGCAGCAUACCGGCGCUCAACUGACGCUCAUGCACGAAAGUGUGGGUAUCGAACAGGAUUAGAUACCCUUGUAGUC